rnacentral:rRNA from 1 species
AUUGAACGCUGGCGGCAGGCCUAACACAUGCAAGUCGAACGAGUGGCGGACGGGUGAGUAAUGUCUGGGAAACUGCCCGAUGGAGGGGGAUAACUACUGGACACGGUAGCUAAUACCGCAUACCAUCGGAUGUGCCCAGAUGGGAUUAGCUAGUAGGUGGGUUAACGGCUCACCUAGGCGACGAUCCCUAGCUGGUCUGAGAGGAUGACCAGCAACACGGGAACUGAGACCAGGUCCAGACUACUACGCGAGGCAGCAGUGGGGAAUAUUGCACGAUGGGCGCAAGCCGGAUGCAGCCAUGCCGCGUGUAUGAAGAAGGCCUUCGGGGUGUAAAGUACUUUCCGCGAGGAGGCGUUACUCGCAGAAGAAGCACCGGCUAACUCCGUGCCAGCAGCCGCGGUAAUUC